AUCUUUGCGGUUAGGGCAAUGACGCAGUUAGUGAGGUAGAACCGAGACGCGUCAAUGGCUGGUUGAAAACUAUUUCCAAACUAUCUGUCCGUUCGUAAUCAGAUAACUCCAGUAAUGAAAGCUUAAUCUAGAAG
rfam:Marchantia polymorpha subsp. polymorpha scaffold2817, whole genome shotgun sequence.